rnacentral:rRNA from 1 species
GUGGGGAAUAUUGCACAAUGGGCGAAAGCCUGAUGCAGCAACGCCGCGUGAAGGAAGAAGGUCUUCGGAUCGUAAACUUCUGUCCUUGGGGAAGAUAAUGACGGUACCCUUGGAGGAAGCCCCGGCUAACUACGUGCCAGCAGCCGCGGUAAUACGUAGGGGGCAAGCGUUAUCCGGAAUUAUUGGGCGUAAAGAGUGCGUAGGUGGUUACUUAAGCGCGGGGUUUAAGGCAAUGGCUCAACCAUUGUUCGCCCUGCGAACUGGGUUACUUGAGUGCAGGAGAGGAAAGCGGAAUUCCUAGUGUAGCGGUGAAAUGCGUAGAUAUUAGGAGGAACACCAGUGGCGAAGGCGGCUUUCUGGACUGUUACUGACACUGAGGCACGAAAGUGUGGGGAGCAAACAGG